GACGUAGGGCGCGAGCGUUGUCCGGAUUUAUUGGGCGUAAAGAGCUCGUAGGCGGCUUGUCGCGUCGUCUGUGAAAACCCGGGGCUCAACUCCGGGCUUGCAUUCGAUACUGCCCGGCUAGAGGUAGGUAGGGGAGAUCGGAAUUCCUGGUGUAGCGGUGAAAUGCGCAGAUAUCAGGAGGAACACCGGUGGCGAAGGCGGAUCUCUGGGCCUUACCUGACGCUCAGGCGCGAAAGCUAGGGGAGCGAACUGG
rnacentral:rRNA from 1 species